UACGGAGGGUGCAAGCGUUACCCGGAAUCACUGGGCGUAAAGGGCGUGUAGGCGGGAUGUUAAGUCUGACUUUAAAGACUGUGGCUCAACCACAGGAGUGGGCUGGAUACUGGCAUUCUAGACAACUGGAGAGGCGAUUGGAAUUACUGGUGUAGCGGUGGAAUGCGUAGAUACCAGUAGGAACGUCAAUGGACGAAGGCAGGUCGCUGGACAGUUUGUGACGCUGAGGCGCGAAAGCGUGGGGAGCGAACAGG
rnacentral:rRNA from 1 species